UUGAUUCCAAGGCAAUUGCAGAGGGCAGAAUCCCUCUGAUGGUUCUAGAACAUGUUACAGUCCGUCUGAAACAAUGCAUGAACAAGUAGAAGAGCCAGAAAGUGAUCGCAGAGCCCCUAUUUUUGUUAGAGUGGAGCCGAGGAGAAAACUUAAGUUCGAGAAUGACUGCAUAAACUAUGAUCUACAAAUGAUCUUCAAAGCAGCAGCAUUUUCUAAAGGAUAGAUAUUGGUGAGAAAAUUGCCUGGAUAUUUUCAGAUGGCCGCUUGCCACAGCCUUCCAUACAAUUGGCUCCAGCUGUCAAUGGAGAAAGCAAAGCAGCAUGAUGAGACCCUUAUGUAAAUACAAUCUUGCUGGUUCCUUUUGAAAUAUGUAGAGUUUCUCCCUUUGGAGAAACCCAAGUCCUGCAUUCAUCACUACUGUUCCAGGGAGAAGAGAUUCUUACUGAACUUAUAAAAAUAAAUAUACAACCAGGAAAAUAUAAGAGUCCUCACUGAAAGUUCCAGAUUCUGGAGGGACAAGGUAGAUAUUUAUGGGAUUACAAGAUACAUCAUUAACUGAACAUGAUCUACUUAGACUUAAUUUUAUAAGGUGCCAAAUAAAAG